rnacentral:rRNA from 1 species
UACGAAGGGGGCUAGCGUUGCUCGGAAUCACUGGGCGUAAAGCGCACGUAGGCGGAUUGCUAAGUCAGGGGUGAAAUCCUGGAGCUCAACUCCAGAACUGCCCUUGAUACUGGCGGUCUCGAGUCCGGGAGAGGUGAGUGGAACUGCGAGUGUAGAGGUGAAAUUCGUAGAUAUUCGCAAGAACACCAGUGGCGAAGGCGGCUCACUGGCCCGGUACUGACGCUGAGGUGCGAAAAGCGUGGGGAGCAAACAGGG